AGUCACAUCAGAUGACACAUGGCAGCAGCUAAAACGGGAAAAGCGCUCCCUGAGUCAUCCCUGGAGCCGGGCGGCAAAGGCUCCUCCUGGGACCAUGUGUGGACCCUCCAAUGAGGGGGGCCUGGGUCACCUUCACUGAGUGGACAGGACACUCAGUGAAGUUCCAAAGGACACUCAGUGAAGUUCCAAAGGACACUCCGCGUCUUUUUCCUCCAGCUCCUGAAGGAAGCACAGUGAAGACUCCAGCAUGGAAAAGCGUGUCCCACACGGCCUCGGCGCCUCCAUGGAUGAUAGAGCCAGCCAGUCAUGGAAGAGCGGGAUCAUCCCGGAAGGGAGCCUGCAGCGAUGAUCCAGCUCCUUCAAAGGGUCUGUGGAUUAUCUCAGCUUCCCUGAAUUAUUCAACUCAGACUGCCAUGCAGAAGAAAAACCAUGAACCCGUAAGUGUUACAUUUUGAAGCAAAAGUUUAUUUUUUCAAAGUCCAUUUUCCCCCUUAGAAAGAAAUAUCAGAGUGAGAAAUAGCGAGUCUCACAUUAUCUAAAAAGCGACUCUCUCCGGUUUUUGUUCCAUUUAUUGAAAACUCCAAUUUCUUUGCCUCGGGUUCUAAUUUAUUUUGCAAUUCGCACAGUGCACUGUAAACAUAAUGUAAAGUUUUCAAAGCUUAAUUAACAGCUACAGGAUAACGGCAGGCCAAGAUUUUAAAGGCAUUUAAGCUUGGCUCCAAGAAAUGAAGAGACUUCCAUUCAGGAAGCUGUGAACUUGUACCUCUUAAAACAAUAAAACCCGUCAGAUCCAGUACUUUGGCUUGCCUUGAAUGCCAAGACCGGCACACCUGCUGGCUUAACCCCAUCCCUCCGAGGUGCUUCUCGAGGGAGUCCUUCCUGUUCUGGAGCUGUUUUUCUCUUGGGGAGAUGAGACAGCAAAAACAACAAAACCAAAAGAAACAAGCGAAAAAAACCACCAAAAACUCAACCACCCCAAAACUAAAAACUGUAUAUUUUAAUCAAAGGUUCAGAAAAUCCACUUUCAAAUUCCACAGGGAUGAGGGUUGGGAUUCAGGUAUCUCGGCAGAAGGAUAGCCAACUGAAAAACCAACCCAAGUGGAUGGGAAGAAUUGACACAAUCUCUCAGAUCUGCAGUGGGUUCAGAAGAGGUGCUGCGUUAUCUGUAGUGUUCCAGUUCUGCCAUUUCCUAGGAGAAGUGCUUGGUGUGGUCACUUACUCUUUCUUGGCCUCAGUUUUUUCCAUCUGUAGAAUGGGACUGAGAAGAAGAAUAUCUCUCACAGGUAGGACAUUGCGUUUUUGUGCUGCAAACGAUUGCAU
ensembl:lncRNA novel transcript